ACAGGCUUACACAUGCAAGUCGAGGGGCAGCAUGGUCUUAGCCUGCUAAGGCCGAUGGCGACCGGCGCACGGGUGAGUAACACGUAUCCAACCUGCCGUCUACUCUUGGACAGCCUUCUGAAAGGAAGAUUAAUACAAGAUGGCAUCAUGAGUCCGCAUGUUCACAUGAUUAAAGGUAUUCCGGUAGACGAUGGGGAUGCGUUCCAUUAGAUAGUAGGCGGGGUGACGGCCCACCUAGUCUUCGAUGGAUAGGGGUUCUGAGAGGAAGGUCCCCCACAUUGGAACUGAGACACGGUCCAAACUCCUACGGGAGGCAGCAGUGAGGAAUAUUGGUCAAUGGGCGAGAGCCUGAACCAGCCAAGUAGCGUGAAGGAUGACUGCCCUAUGGGUUGUAAACUUCUUUUAUAAAGGAAUAAAGUCGGGUAUGGAUACCCGUUUGCAUGUACUUUAUGAAUAAGGAUCGGCUAACUCCGUGCCAGCAGCCGCGGUAAUACGGAGGAUCCGAGCGUUAUCCGGAUUUAUUGGGUUUAAAGGGAGCGUAGAUGGAUGUUUAAGUCAGUUGUGAAAGUUUGCGGCUCAACCGUAAAAUUGCAGUUGAUACUGGAUAUCUUGAGUGCAGUUGAGGCAGGCGGAAUUCGUGGUGUAGCGGUGAAAUGCUUAGAUAUCACGAAGAACUCCGAUUGCGAAGGCAGCCUGCUAAGCUGCAACUGACAU
rnacentral:rRNA from 1 species